rnacentral:rRNA from 1 species
GAUGAACGCUGGCGGCGUGCCUAAUACAUGCAAGUCGAGCGAACAGACGAGGAGCUUGCUCCUUUGACGUUAGCGGCGGACGGGUGAGUAACACGUAGGUAACCUACCUAUAAGACUGGGAUAACUUCGGGAAACCGGAGCUAAUACCGGAUAAUAUUUCGAACCGCAUGGUUCGAUAGUGAAAGAUGGCUUUGCUAUCACUUAUAGAUGGACCUGCGCCGUAUUAGCUAGUUGGUAAGGUAACGGCUUACCAAGGGAACGAUACGUAGCCGACGUGAGAGGGUGAUCGCCCACACUGGAACUGGACCACGGUCCAGACUCCUACGGGAGGCAGCAGUAGUGAAUCUUCCGCAAUGGGCGAAAGCCUGACGGAAGAGCGCCGCGUGAGUGAUGAAAGUCUUCGGAUCGUAAAACUCUGUUAUUAGGGAAGAACAAAAGUGUAAGUAACUGUGCACGUCUUGACGGUACCUAAUCAGAAAGCCACGGCUAACUACGUG